rnacentral:rRNA from 1 species
UACGGGGGGGGCAAGCGUUGUUCGGAAUUACUGGGCGUAAAGGGCGCGUAGGCGGCGCAACAAGUCACUUGUGAAAUCUCCGGGCUUAACCCGGAGCGGUCAAGUGAUACUGUCGUGCUAGAGUGCGGAAGGGGCUACUGGAAUUCUCGGUGUAGCGGUGAAAUGCGUAGAUAUCGGGAGGAAUACCAGUGGCGAAGGCGGCUUCUUGGCCUGUUCUUGACGCUGAGGCGGCGAAAGCUGGGGGAGCAAACGGGG